GUUGUCCUCAAAACCGACAUAACUUCCAUCACAUCAACUGUGGCUUGGAUCACUGAAAAAUAACUUCAUGCAUUUUAAAUAAUGUUUUAAAACGUAUAUAGUUUGAUCACAUUAAAACAAAUUGAAAAAUAUAAUGACUACGGAGCGCAUUAAAGGUAAUUUCCACUCAGGAAAAUUAUCCGUGGAUUGGAACGGACAAGAAAUUUUUUCUUUGUCUUGUGAGCUCUGGGUUGGAACUACUGACUUUAACAAAAAGAAAAAUUUUCUUGUCCGUUCCAAUCCACGGAUAAUUUUCUCGAGUGGAAAUAAGCCUUUAAUGAAAGCGGCAUCCGGCGCGUAGCUGAACAAUCAUGCCAAAUCAAAUCAGAUUGAUAGAUAUUUGUCUAGAUAAAAAUCGUAAGCCCCGCCCCCCAGAGUGAAAGAAAUUCUGGUUAAAUUUUCA